UUUAGACCGAGCCUCUCUAGUUUGUUAGGGUGUUUCUUUUUUCCUUUUUUCUUUUGUUUAUUCUAUUUCCUCCAUUUUUUCCAAUUGUUUUUUUUUUAAUUUCACUACUUAUUUUUUUUUAUUCUAUGAAUGAUUUCCAAUUCUAAUUUUCUUUAAAAAUAUUAUUUAUAAUCAACGUUUUUCACGAAUGUGACACAUUGUGGACUAGGACACAUUGUGGACUGAGACACGUUAUUUCACAUUUUUACAAUACAUCAAUAUAAAUAAUUCGUCACUCU
rnacentral:lncRNA from 1 species